UGUUUUUCAUUUCAAUUCAAA
rnacentral:piRNA from 1 species